GGAAGAGGCUGGUUGGUAAACACGUUUAAAACGAUGUCAUGUUGCUGAAGGUGAAAUACCAGAGUACCAGAAAGUACAUCAGAUUACAGUCAGGUUUCACCUUUUUGGAUUUCAUCAGUGAAGUCAAAAACAAGUUUGGUCUUCCUGACGCCACAGAACUUGACGUUUUUGAUGACACCAACACAGCAGUGGAGGAAGACAUCUUUCUUGAAUUGAUAGAGGUUAAUCCGGAUUUAUGCUUGAUUGUAUGUGACAGAAUUUCAGUUGAAGGUACGUUUCAUUAUAAAAAUCUCUUCAAUAUGAUACACCAAUCGAUAGGGUGGUGUCAUAUUACUUAGAUAAGUUGUCAGUUACUGGAUACAAAAUUAUAUGGCAAUUUUCAUGAUUAAUAAUGCAAGUAGGAUUGGAUUGCAAAUAGGGAAGCUUCCUGAUUACUUAAAAAUCAGAAAUUUAAAAUAAAUAAAAAAUCAUGCAAACACAACAAAUUUGAGUUACCCCACCCCUUUUCUUUUUCUUUAAACAUCUCAAAACAUUUCAGUGUAAAUGAAAAAGAAUAAAACUCCAUUAUGUAAGUCACCAUUAAUGGAACAUGAGUCACUUACUUUGAU